rnacentral:lncRNA from 1 species
UGCGAUUUCCUUUGUACUCGUUUUUCAAGUCAAGAGUUACAGGUACUUGAUGUUUUUUGUUUGCUUUCUAAUCGCACUUUGACUGACUUUCAGAUAAUACACUAAUUUAUUCCUAUAAUUUUGAAAUGAUGUAUGUCAAGUUAAUCCUUUGAUUUGUCAUUCUUUUUAGAUCAAUUCCUUAAAUGCUAGAAAGAAACUGCAUUUGACACAUCAUAAUGCUUGGUCGAAGUAUUUUAUGGCCUAUGAAGGUAAUGAGACUGCCACACUUGAAGGAUUGAAUGAGCAUGCCAAAAGAUUGGAGGAACUGAAUGGGAUGUCGAAAGAUUUCUGAAAUUCAUAGCAUAAUUUCAUGUUGAUGGCCAUUAGUGCUGUAGUUACCUUCUAUUAGAAAUUAUAGAUUUCUCAAGUUUUUUUGAUUUGGUCUGGAUACCAUUGUGGACCAUUUUGAUUUAGUUACAUUUAAGUUUUUUUAUUUGUAAUAAAUAUUCAUUGUACUUCAAAUCAGUACUUUUAAUUGAGUGUGAAUGAUUUUGUUUUCUUCUGUCGAUCUACUUAUAAUGAAAAUACAUAAAACAAAUUCAAAAGGACGAAAGAAGAGACCAAGAAUAUAACAAAAUUGUAUAAAGUGGUAUAAUGCGAAGCCAAAAGAAGUUGAAUUCCUGGGCACUUGACCAUUUUGAAGGCCAACGCUAAGCAAUAUCUGCACACUUUUGAAGUAAUUUAUCCGCUGAUUUUACUUGUUUACCCAUUUAAACUAAUAUUGAUUAUAGUGUAUGUAUAAGGGGUAGUUAUGUAAAAGUGUUAUAGUUUUCUAUAUGUGAUAAGAUUUAGGGUUUAGGGUUUAGGGUUUAGAGUUUAGAGUUUACCCUUCAUGGUUCGUAUGAGAGUGUUUAUCAUUACUUGAACUCUACUCGAUCUUUAUUAAGAUUUCUCUAAAAGGGAAUGCUGCUCACCUAUAUUCAUUUUGGGGAAGUCUCAUUCUCACUUUGAUUUUUCUCAAACGGAAUGCUGAUGAUCGAAAUUCGCUUAGAGAAGAUUUCUCCUGACAUGUCACUAAAAUUUCCCUCGACUCCUCACAAACUCUCUUUGAGGAGAUUGCUACUCGCCUAGAUUCGACUCUUGAUCCCCAUAUUCACUUUAAGAAGAUUAUUCCCUCACUUGGAUUCUUGCUCACUCGAAAUUUCUCUCGAAA